UAAAACUGCAUCUUCUCUUUUUCUCAGAUCCACUUCUAAGGAGGGGAUGGGCAGGCGAACCACCUGUCGCCCAUCCCGCACCCUCAAUCUGGCCCGCCUCCUCCCUCAAAUGCACGCCGCCGCGCUCAAUCCAGCCCGCCGCCGGCGCCGUCGAUUAGGGAGGGAAGGAGCCGCCCACGCACAGGGAGAAGGAGGAGGAGGAGCUUCCUGCGCACCGGGAUGCGGAGGAUCUGACCUCGUCCCGUCGUCCCCCACGGCUCCUCCUCUACGGGUGCCACCGGCCUUCCUCCUCCCUGCUGGCGCCGCCGUCCCCUCCUCCCUGCGGGCGCCGCCCCCCUCCUCCUCACUGCCGACACUGCAGCCCCCUCCUCCCAGCGCGCGCGCCGCCGCCCCCUCCUCAAUGAUGAGCAGAUGCUGCAUGUCCGGCGGCCGCAACCCCAUGGCCGUGCCACGCCCUGAUGCAAUUCAGUGGCAGAUGUGCGACGGCCUUAUCUUCCUCCCCGCCGGCUAUUUUGCUUGCCCAUGGGAGGAAGGACACGGACGCACGACCGUCCCGUGCUCCUGGCCACCUUCCCCGACUGAGCUGGGCACCGCCGCCACCAGCAGCUCGGGUACGCAACCAUGGUGUUCCAUGAAAUCAGAGUCGUGGUGGUGGACAUGACCACAACAGGGGCACCUCCCAAGUUGCAGGAUGUCUGGCCGUAGGCAGAACCAAGAUCAACAUGAAGCAACAGAUCUUGGAUAAACAUGAUAAGGCUAGUUUGUGUCUGUAGUUGAUGAGAAGGCCAGCUGCUACUUUCUAUCUUGCCUCCAAGAUAUAUAAGAGGGCCGUAGAUUAUUCUUCACUUCUGUUUUCUACAGGCCAUCUGCUUUCAGUUAUGUGCUUCCUUGACAUGUGUUGGGGUUAACCCUGUUCCUUGACAUGUGCUUCCUUUCAAUUAUUAAGAGGACAGAGGAGCCGCCUGGUUUCAUAGGGAAUGGUUAACAACUCUGAACUAAAAUAAACUGCUGUAUAUUAAAAGCCAUCACAGUGCUAAACAGAUCUUUGUAAAAAUUGGUUCCUUCAGAGCAGUUACUGUUGAUUUUCUGACUCCUCGAAUUUUAGUAAUGCAUCACUGUUUGCUGAAUUCCAAAUUAAUAAGCUGCAUUUGGAUAGGUAGGCAUGAACUGCAAGGGAUAUACAGAGUUACUAAACCACAAAGCACAUUGGGUGCCAUAGCUCAGCUGCUAUGUUUCUGUUGAUCCAGGGGACACAUCAUUUUUCUUGCUGUUGUGCUUUUCUAGCCUUUGUUCAUACAUUUUAUUUGUCCAGAUAAUUUAAGUUUCUAGUUGGUGAACUGCAAUGUCUGUUUUCAAUAAUAGUAGGAGCAUUGGUUCUGACUAUGUUUCAUCACAAGCAACAAUAUACUUUCAGUCUAUUUGUGCUGGGACAGCAACAGCUGAGGUCUUUUCUUGUCGACAGUGCAACAGUUGCAGCUCAACUACUCUCAGUUUGGUCUGAUGGCCUCCUGCUCAAGCUUGGCACUUGUAUCAGAUGAGCAACAAGAUGGGGAUAUGUGCUGCACUAGACAUAAUUGUAGAUUUCUUGAACAAAGUGAUGGUCGAGGUGAAGCCAGUGCCUGUUGCUCAAAACUACAUGGCGCGCGCAAUGGCUUUGACGGUGGCCUAAAGCCUAAAGCGGGUUGUAUUAUUUAAAUGAGACUUUAGUUUACAAUGUUUCAUUAUUGAUGUCAUCGCUAUUUUUAAUGGUAUGUUAGAC